AAAUGACAGGUUUUUUUGACAGUUGUAGAAAAAAGAUAUUUUUAAAAGCUCCUUUAAGAGUGCAAAUUUAUAAAGAGAGGAUACCUAACGUUGCACUACCACCUGAACCGGUUCUAACAAGGUGGGGUACCUGGUUAAAUGCUGUUUCAUUUUAUCAUACUCAUUUUGAGCAGAUAAAGGAGGUGGUGUUACGUUUUGAUGCAGGUGUUGCAGUAUCAAUAAAAAAUGCACAACAUUUUUUUAAAUCUCCAAAUGUUAAAAACGAAAUUGUUUAUAUUCAUUCACAUUUUAAAAUAAUUUCUGAUACAAUCACGAAAAUAGAAGCAAGAAGCAUGCCAUUAUCGGAGUCAUUAGAAUUAAUUGAAAACUUAACAACUUCCUUACGUACAGCUCCUGGACCUGUAGCAAAACUUGCAUAUAAUAAGUUAAAAAAUACUCUAAUAAAAAAUCCAGGCUAUGAACUCUUGUCAUCAAUUAAAAAAAUAUUUUGUGGUGGGGAAGCGGAACUUCCCUUAAAUUUUCAAACAAAGGAUGUACCUAUUUUUAAGUAUGCCCCAAUAACUUCAUGUGAGGUUGAGCGAUCCUUUUCCAUGUAUAAACACAUACUUAGUGAUAAAAGACACAAUCUUUCAGAAAAAAACAUCGAAAUGUUGAUGGUCACACAUAGUUUUAGUAAAUCACAGUGUUAGAAUAUGCAAAUUAUGUAUAUAGUAGCAUUUUAAUGUUCUUUUAUGUUUAAUAAAAAAUAUGCCUAUA